AUUAAGACUCUGUUCCGUACACGCAUGUGCUACUUACGAUUAAACACUAACGAUGUCAUCAUACUAAGCCGAUAUGUUGGAAAAAUGAGAGCCUUCGAGCUAUUUGAGUAGCGAGUAGAAACGUGUAGGAGGCUGAGUCAAGGAAUUCCUCUGCUUUCUUGAGGUGCUGCUUCAAAUAUCGUAAAAUCUCUUUGGAGGUGUUCAUUCAGUUCUAAUAUUGCCGCUACGUUACCGCAUCUGUAAAAAUGUCGAUUAAGCAAUCAAGUGUCAAAUCGUGGUCGAUCAUUGUUGAGUUACGUUGUAUUACAGUUGAUGUGCUCGACAAAUCAUGUCGAUAUCGUUAGCAGAGUUAAACUGAGCAACAACGUCACUGCCAAACAAAUAUCCUGCACCUCUUGGAGAGACGCCCCAUCCUUGGGUGUCUUCAGGAUCAGACCAAAGCAGAUCACACAUUGGGCCGUCAUGUGGUACCUAAAUCCAGUUCAUUGAAUUAUUUUUGGUCAGCAAGGCACAUCGCCACCAACCUUGAAUAGCUCUUUCAGGUCAUAAAAUUGACCAUGUAUGUCACCGCAGACCUGCAAAGUAUGAAUGAGUCAGCACUUGAGGAUUUAAAAAAAAACCAGCUCAUCUAUUACGUUAACCUUAACUUACGGUAACAGCUGUUCAAUUUGCCGAUCCAAAUCACUGGAAUCGGACAUUGCUUCGCCCGUUAUAUUGCGCGUGAACUGUAAACAAAUCAAAAAUAACACUGUAACAUCUUAAAAAUUGUGGACGAUGAAGGUUGGUAUUAAAAUAUCAUGCAUCAAUACAACAAUUGCGUAAGAGUCGAUCAAAGUUCUCAAAGACAAUAAACUCGAAAUUAUUUGUUAGACCAAGUGAGAUUUAGGGUGUAACUAAGUGAUGUGAGGUAGUGUAAGACGGUGACUUUGAAAUAUAAACUAAAAUAAAUAAAUAAAUAUGUGAUAGAGCAAUGCGCUGUGUCAAAUCUGAUAUGUUCACAUGGUUUGAAUAUAGAUGACGUCAAUCAGA